rnacentral:rRNA from 1 species
UACGUAGGGUGCGAGCGUUGUCCGGAAUUAUUGGGCGUAAAGGGCUCGUAGGCGGUUUGUCGCGUCGGGAGUGAAAACGCCGUGCUUAACACGGCGCUUGCUUUCGAUACGGGCAGACUAGAGGUAUUCAGGGGAGAACGGAAUUCCUGGUGUAGCGGUGAAAUGCGCAGAUAUCAGGAGGAACACCGGUGGCGAAGGCGGUUCUCUGGGAAUGACCUGACGCUGAGGAGCGAAAGUGUGGGUAGCGAACAGG